rnacentral:rRNA from 1 species
GAGUUUGAUCCUGGCUCAGAUUGAACGCUGGCGGCAGGCCUAACACAUGCAAGUCGAGCGGUAACAGAUCCAGCUUGCUGGAUGCUGACGAGCGGCGGACGGGUGAGUAAUGCAUAGGAAUCUGCCCGAUAGUGGGGGAUAACCUGGGGAAACCCAGGCUAAUACCGCAUACGUCCUACGGGAGAAAGGGGGCUCCGGCUCCCGCUAUGGGAUGAGCCUAUGUCGGAUUAGCUAGUUGGUGAGGUAACGGCUCACCAAGGCCGCGAUCCGUAGCUGGUCUGAGAGGAUGAUCAGCCACAUCGGGACUGAGACACGGCCCGAACUCCUACGGGAGGCAGCAGUGGGGAAUAUUGGACAAUGGGGGCAACCCUGAUCCAGCCAUGCCGCGUGUGUGAAGAAGGCCCUCGGGUUGUAAAGCACUUUCAGCGAGGAAGAACGCCUAGCGGUUAAUACCCGCUAGGAAAGACAUCACUCGCAGAAGAAGCACCGGCUAACUCCGUGCCAGCAGCCGCGGUAAUACGGAGGGUGCAAGCGUUAAUCGGAAUUACUGGGCGUAAAGCGCGCGUAGGUGGCUUGAUAAGCCGGUUGUGAAAGCCCCGGGCUCAACCUGGGAACGGCAUCCGGAACUGUCAAGCUAGAGUGCAGGAGAGGAAGGUAGAAUUCCCGGUGUAGCGGUGAAAUGCGUAGAGAUCGGGAGGAAUACCAGUGGCGAAGGCGGCCUUCUGGACUGACACUGACACUGGGGUGCGAAAGCGUGGGUAGCAAACAGGAUUAGAUACCCUGGUAGUCCACGCCGUAAACGAUGUCGACCAGCCGUUGGGUGCCUAGCGCACUUUGUGGCGAAGUUAACGCGAUAAGUCGACCGCCUGGGGAGUACGGCCGCAAGGUUAAAACUCAAAUGAAUUGACGGGGGCCCGCACAAGCGGUGGAGCAUGUGGUUUAAUUCGAUGCAACGCGAAGAACCUUACCUACUCUUGACAUCCUGCGAAUUUGGUAGAGAUACCUUAGUGCCUUCGGGAACGCAGAGACAGGUGCUGCAUGGCUGUCGUCAGCUCGUGUUGUGAAAUGUUGGGUUAAGUCCCGUAACGAGCGCA